rnacentral:lncRNA from 10 species
UCUCAAUCUUUGAGGAAUCACAUGGGUAUGUUAACAAAAUUCAGAUUCUGACUCAGUAGGUCUGUAGUGCGACCUAAGAUCUGCAUUUCUAACAAGCUCCAGAGUCCUGCUGACGCUGAUGUUCCAAGGACCAUACUUUGAGAACCAUGAGGGGAACUACCAUCAUAAAGGUCUUCACAGAGGAUCUACCAUCACAUAGACGCAGUCAACAUUGUUUUAUGAAUGUCUAAAAUUACAAUUGAGAUUAACCAGAAAAAUAAAGUUCUGAAGUCAGUGAUCUAAAAGAACAAACCUUCAACUACAAUUAUGCUUGAAAUACUUAAAAGUUGUCAAACAGAUCUUAAUUUACAAUUUAUGGAACUGAACCAAUUUAAACACUGCCAAGAAAGACCAAGAAACCAGAUUUAAUCGUUGCCGUGCUUUCAUCAUGGCCCAUUGAACGAAUCCGGAGCUAUAUAAUCUUGAGUGAUCACACUGCCACUACACCUCUAGACCUCUUUUUUACUUAUGAAAAUAUUUUCAAGGAACAAUUAGUCUCAGGGACAUCUUAGCUCUCCCUUCCUUGUUUUCACUGUAUUUCUAGGGCAGAACUCUGCAACAGACUAAAACAUUAGCUCUACUGCAGUGAUUCCUGUGUUAUUAUUCUGUCAUUUUACUGAAUUGUCAAGUCCUGGCAUAAAUG